GAUGAACGCUGGCGGUAUGCUUAACACAUGCAAGUCGAACGGGUGUCUUCGGACAUUAGUGGCGGACGGGUGAGUAACGCGUGAGAAUCUGGCUCUAGGUCGGGGACAACAGUUGGAAACGACUGCUAAUACCGGAUAUGCCGCAAGGUGAAAGAUUAAUUGCCUGGAGAUGAGCUCGCGUCCGAUUAGCUAGUUGGUGGGGUAAGAGCCUACCAAGGCGACGAUCGGUAGCUGGUCUGAGAGGACGAUCAGCCAUACUGGGACUGAGACACGGCCCAGACUCCUACGGGAGGCAGCAGUGGGGGAAUUUUCCGCAAUGGGCGAAAGCCUGACGGAGCAAUACCGCGUGAGGGAGGAAGGCUCUUGGGGUUGAAAACCUCUUUUCUGAAGGAAGAAAAAAUGACGGUACUUCAGGAAUCAGCAUCGGCUAACUCCGUGCCAGCAGCCGCGGUAAU
rnacentral:rRNA from 1 species